rnacentral:lncRNA from 1 species
AUUCUUCUUCAUGGAAAAAUAAGACAUCCCCUGAAAAUAAGACCUAACGCAUCUUUGGGAGCUAAAUUUCUGCCAGACCAAAAAAGAGCAAAAAUUAAUAUAAGACACUGUCUUAUUUUCGGUGAAACAGGGUAUCUAUCUCUAUCUAUAGAUUUUUUCCCCCCAUUUUAUAUAAGGGACACUAUUUUAUUCUUCCAUUUCAUACAAUGGGACUAGAGCAUCCAUGAAUUUUGAUGUCCGUGGGAGAUCCUAGAAUCAAACCCAGUAGAUAUCAAUGGUUUACUCAUUAUAUCUCACUUUCCCCUGCUUAAUGGGAAAGUAAAUGGACACUAUGU